rnacentral:lncRNA from 1 species
CGAACCCAUUUGAAUCCAUAUAAAACCAUGCACAUAUAACCCUUCAACUUUACAUUGCAUACAAACAUAUAUAUAAUACUAAUUACACUUCAAAAGGCCACAAACAAUCCAACAAGUCAUCAAAAGUCUAUGAAAUCAUUCCAUAUACACUACCAGACAAUAACAAUCCCAGAAGAACCACUAAACAAUCCAAUGCCCCUUAAAAUCAUAUUUAGACAAGGAAAACAACUUUAAAACCAUCACCAACAAUUC